GCGGAUGUAGCCAAGUGGAUCAAGGCAGUGGAUUGUGAAUCCACCCAUGCCGCGGA
rnacentral:tRNA from 1 species